rnacentral:tRNA from 2 species
CGCGGGGUGGAGCAGUUGGCAGCUCGUUGGGCUCAUAACCCAAAGGUCGUAGGUUCAAGUCCUACCCCCGCAACCA